rnacentral:rRNA from 1 species
UGGGGAAUUUUGGACAAUGGGCGCAAGCCUGAUCCAGCCAUGCCGCGUGCGGGAAGAAGGCCUUCGGGUUGUAAACCGCUUUUGUCAGGGAAGAAAUCUUCUGAGUUAAUACCUCGGGAGGAUGACGGUACCUGAAGAAUAAGCACCGGCUAACUACGUGCCAGCAGCCGCGGUAAUACGUAGGGUGCAAGCGUUAAUCGGAAUUACUGGGCGUAAAGCGUGCGCAGGCGGUUUUGUAAGACAGAGGUGAAAUCCCCGGGCUCAACCUGGGAACUGCCUUUGUGACUGCAAGGCUUGAGUGCGGCAGAGGGGGAUGGAAUUCCGCGUGUAGCAGUGAAAUGCGUAGAUAUGCGGAGGAACACCGAUGGCGAAGGCAAUCCCCUGGGCCUGCACUGACGCUCAUGCACGAAAGCGUGGGGAGCAAACAGGAUUAGAUACCCUGGUAGUCCACGCCCUAAACGAUGUCAACUGGUUGUUGGGAAGGUUCCUUCUCAGUAACGUAGCUAACGCGUGAAGUUGACCGCCUGGGGAGUACGGCCGCAAGGUUGAAACUUAAAUGAAUUGACGGGGUCAUA